CGGUGUUGUGUGUCAUGUCCUUAUCUUCCUUUUCAUCGUGUAUCAAACUCAAUCUCAAUCCCAUUUUCACUGAGUUCCCAUAUUGGCAAAUCCCACACCGAGUUCCCAUAUUGGCAAAUGACAAGGACGAAAACAAAAAAUCAUAGGAGUAUAUUGCAAAGACGAAAUGCUUCCAUAAAACCAUGGAAAAUGUUUUGUCGCAACUGCCUUUUGCAAUAAAUUCUUGUUGGAGAUUUAGGGAGGGAAGAUUGAAAAAUUAUCAACCAUCUUCAAAUGUUUAUGUUUCUAACUAUCCGAUUUUGGUGGCUGCAAGUCAAAAUUGUAAGAAAAAAAAUGAUUAAAUGAAAUCGUUGAACUUAAGUCAACAUAAAUUGUGGUAAUUUCUCAAGAUGUUCAUUACUGCAGGGUCUUGCAUUAAAAAAAACAGUAGAAAAGAAUGUAAAGGUUGCUGAAGUUUGUCAAGAUGCGAUUGGAGAUGAAAAGUUGAUAUAGAAAGUAGAUCAAAAGCAUAGAAAUGAAUCAAAUUGUUACAGAUAUAACUAUCCAACUCAAACCUAAGUUUUAAAACAUGGGCAUGAACCUUAAGAAGAAACGGGUAACUGUGUUUAUCAAGAAAGAUUUCAUUUUCUUUUUCAGUUAUCAUUUCUUUGUAAAGAACAAUAGCAUGGUGUUUGUGAUUUGUGGAUUUGGCGUAGACUCAUAUGAGAAUGUUCCACAUGAAGGACAUGUUCAUA